UGACGGUAUCUAACCAGCAAGUCACGGCUAACUACGUGCCAGCAGCCGCGGUAAUACGUAGGUGGCAAGCGUUAUCCGGAUUUAUUGGGCGUAAAGGGAACGUAGGCGGUUUUUUAAGUCUGAUGUGAAAGCCUUCGGCUUAACCGGAGAAUAGCAUUGGAAACUGGAAGACUUGAGUGCAGAGGAGGAGAGUGGAACUCCAUGUGUAGCGGUGAAAUGCGUAGAUAUAUGGAAGAACACCAGUGGCGAAAGCGGCUCUCUGGUCUGUAACUGACGCUGAGGUUCGAAAGCGUGGGUAGCAAACAGGAUUAGAUACCCUG
rnacentral:rRNA from 1 species